rnacentral:rRNA from 1 species
AAUCAACGCUGGCGGCGUGCCUAACACAUGCAAGUCGCACGAGAAAGGGCUUUCGGGCCUGAGUAAAGUGGCGCACGGGUGAGUAACACGUGACUUAUCUACCCUCGAGUGGGGAAUAACCUAGGGAAACCUGGGCUAAUACCGCAUAACACUUACGAGUCAAAGCAGCAAUGCGCUUGGGGAGGAGGUCGCGGCAGAUUAGCUAGUUGGUGGGGUAAAGGCCUACCAAGGCGAUGAUCUGUAUCCGGCCUGAGAGGGCGCACGGACACACUGGAACUGAAACACGGUCCAGACUCCUACGGGAGGCAGCAGUGGGGAAUUUUGCGCAAUGGGGGAAACCCUGACGCAGCAACGCCGCGUGGAGGAUGAAGUCUCUUGGGACGUAAACUCCUUUCGACAGGGACGAUAAUGACGGUACCUGUAGAAGAAGCCCCGGCUAACUUCGUGCCAGCCGCCGCAGUAAAAC